rnacentral:lncRNA from 1 species
GGGUGAUGGGCUGGAUGAGGGCCAAUAAAUUGAAGCUUAAUCCAGGCAACCGUCCUGCUGGUAGGCAGUUUAGCCUCCCAGGUAGGUGUUUCUAACCCUGUUCUGGAUGGGGUUGCACUCCCCCUAAAGGACAGGGUGCACAGUUUGGGAGUGCUCCUUGACCUGGAGCUAUGGGAGAGGUCAUCAGGAGGUGUGGGCUGCGGAAUCAUCAAUACGCUGAUGAUACCCAGCUUUACCUCUCGUUUUCCACUAAUCCAGGUGAGGCAGUGGCUGUGCUGAACCGGUGCUUGGCCGAGGUAAGGGAAUGGAUGAGGGCCAAUAAACUGAAACUCAACCCAGACAAGACGGAGGUCCUGUUGGUUGGCGGAUCGGGUUUCGGAGAGGGUGGAUUUGACCUGGUCCUGAAUGGUGCAACACUCCCUCUUAGGGAUAAGGUCCGCAGCUUAGGAGUACUCCUCGACCCGGAGCUUUCUUUGGAAGCUCAGGUGACAGCGGUGGUGAGGAACGCCUUCCUUCAGCUUCGGCUGAUUAAUCAGCUACGCCCCUACCUGGAGUACGACUGCCUGGCGACGGUGACACACGUGCUGGUGACUUUCCGCCUAGACUUCUGUAACGCGCUUUACGUGGGGCUUCCCCUGAAGACAGUCCGAACACUUCAAUUGGUGCAAAAUAGAGCUGCCAGGUUGCUGACGGGGACGGGGCAUUAUGCUCACAUGACUCCAGUCCUCCGUCAGCUUCACUGGCUUCCCAUUGAAGCCCGGGCCCAAUUCAAGGUGUUGGUUAUGACCUAUAAAGCCCUAAACGGCUUGGGUCCUGGCUACCUGAACGAGCGCUUAUGUCCGUAUAUGCCCGACCGCCCUUUGAGAUCUGCGGGAGAGUCCCUUCUCCGGGAACCCUCCAUGAAAGAAAUUAGGAGAGUAAGUACUCGGAGGAGGGCUUUCUCUGCGGUGGCACCCAACCUAUGGAAUUCACUCCCCAAAGAGGUCCGCCUGGCACCGUCGUUACUGGUUUUUCGGCGCCAGGUAAAGACCUUUUUAUUUAAACAUCAUUUUAAUUGUUAAAACAUAUGAUCUGGCCAGGGCAACUUCUUCUUCCUUCUCUUUCUCCUCCUAUAUUUUUAUUUACUUAUUUUAUACUGAUAAUUUUAAUUUUAUAUUUGUAAAU